rnacentral:lncRNA from 1 species
CACCUCCGCCUUCUGCGCCCGCGGGACCCUGGAGCCUGUCCCGAAACUCCUCGUUUUCUCUCUCCUCUCCUUGCUCCGAACCCCCUUUUUCCGUGUUCCGACCCUCUGUCAGUUUCAGUUUUCUCUUUCUUGUUCAGAUCCUGCCUCUCCCCUUCCAGGUUCCUUCAAGGUUCUCUUCUUGAUACCUUCCGCUCCCCUCCAGCUGACCCCGAGGAGAGCUAGAGACAGGUGCCUAUGCUCCCUGCCCAUUCUUGGCGCUGCUCCUCACUCCCAGGCUUUCUGGCACACAGGCCCCUUUACUUGAGGGAGAUCCUCUGUUCUGGCAGCCACACCCCCAAGCGUGUCCCUCCAUUUCUGAACCCGUAUACAUUUUCUUUUCUGUUCUCCAGAGCCCUGUCAAAUUCUUUCUGAAAAACAGGAAGAAGGGAGGGGACUGCCUUUUGUCCCUCCCCCAGCCCUCCUGCUCCGGUCUGGAGGAACCCCUGCCACAAGACUGGCAGUCAGGGUACUUUCUCCAGAUCAAGCCAGAGUUUCCCACCCCAGCCCCCCUCAUCCAUUCCAAGCCUGGUUUCCUUGGUCUCCCAUUCACCAUCUGAGGGAGAUCCAGUGCAGUGGAUGGACUCAGGAUCCUUGCCACCUCAGGGCUGCUUGAUGGGUACCUGGUCCAGGUAGAUCCAGAAUGUCCCCUCCUGGUUACAGAGCAGACUUCUGGUUUAGGCCCAGAGUCAGUGGGCAGUAUCAGUCUGCCUUCUCCUGAUCGUCCCACCUUGGCCCCAGCCCCUUUGAGAAACAACGUGGGUUCCUGUCAAUUAUUUUGUACUUACAGGAGCUGGAAAUGGCUGGUGGGUCCUUGCUUCUGUUUAGACAGGGUCCUGUGCGAGAGGGCCACAUAUGUAGGAAGCAGGAUAGGGCUAGUUUGGGUUGCUAUUUCCCUAGCCUCUGGGUCUCUCAGUCCUUUCUGCUCUGACCAGAGGUUGCUUGGGAGGACCCCAGUGUCCUGGAUGGGGCAACCACCUUCAUGCAUGUCAGGCUGGGGUCAGCGGGGGGAGAAUCUUCCACAGUCCUGGUCCCAGCACCAGCAUUUACCCCUCUCCUUGGGGACCAUCUGGACCCCUUUAACCCCUAGCCCAUUUUUUCUUGCCUACAGCCUCAUGGUCCCCUCUGCUGGAAGAGCUUUUCCUCUCCUUGGCCUUGAGUGAGAGCCAAGUCAGUAGUGGGGAGAUCCCAGGGAAGUCAGGGGUAUCCUUGUCUCCCUUCCUGUGAAUGGUCCGGAGCUGGACUUGGCAUGAUGACAGGCCACCCAGUACUGGCUUCUAGUGUACACAGCUCUGCUUGUGGCCAGACAAGCUGGUGACCAGGCCUCUGAGCCUGGCUGGUUCAAACUAGCCUGUACUCUGUUCAGAGUAAGCUCUGGCCUGGGCAGCUAGAGGCAGGGCAGCUGAGCAGAUGUAACAGCAUGAAGUCCAGGGUUGCCCUGACUAGUGCCCUGCCAGGUGAGGCUGCCCCGUGGCUUCCCUGAGAGCAGACAAGCUGAGCAUGGGGAGCCAUGGAUACUGACACUAAGUUGUGGGCUCUGCCACAAGCCUCCAUCCCACCUUCAUUCUUCCCAGGUGACACUCAGAGCAAGAGUUUCUCUCUCAUCUCUAGAAGUUGGGAGAAGGAACUAGAAUAUGUAGCUGUAGAAGAGCCUUUGGGCCCUGUGACGGAACUUUGGCUGCUUAUGGACUUGCUGUGUGAAAUGGGGAGGGGGCCAGGGGAAAGAAGGAAGCGUUCCUAUUGCCUCUGAAUGCCACUGGGGACACUUCCCAUGGUGGUUCCCUGCCAUGUACAGUGACUCUGGAGGUUAAUUAUUGCUGUCCCCACCAAGUCGUUGUGGGUCAGGACAGACCAUGCUCUUGCCUGGUCUUUCCAAAGGUUCUAGGCACAGAUGGAGUGGGCAUGCCCCUAGUCAGGGCCUACUGCUGACCACUACCUUGGCUUGGCCCCUUCAUCUUUUGCUAGCCUUCAUUGAUGACCCACAUUGAUUGGCUGUCUAUCGUGAACAUUGAUUGACUGUCUAUCGUGAACCAGUCUUUGCCUUCUUGCUCUCUGCUCCUCAGGCAACAUUUUUCCCCCUGCUGCUGGGGAUUGGACCUGAGGGCACUUUACUACUGAGUUACAGCCUCGGCCUUUUAAAAAAAAAUUUUUUUUGUUUUGUUUUGUUUUUAAUUUUUGAAACAGGUUCUCACUAAGUUAUCAAGGCUGGUCUUGAACUUGUGAUCCUCCUGCCUCAGACUUCCAAGUUACUAGAAUUACAGGUGUGCAGCUUGGGUCCUGCUGGCAACAUUUUGCCUGAUCCCAGCAGAAUUCAUGGCUGGGAAUGGGCCUCUGCCAUGCCUAGUGUCCUGAGGGCUGGCUCAGGCACUCUGCUCUGACAUGAGGAGAAGAGGCGGUGGCCAUGCUGAGCCCUGUGUGUUGUAUCUCACUCUGGGUUAUGUGGUUGGCUGGUUACAUGGCAACUUUAGAAUAUAUUACCUGGCAGCCAGGCACCAUUUGUGGUGCUAAGGAAGCUUUGGGUAUUGGCAGAAACAGCCAUGAGCCUCAUGCAUGUGUUCAUCUACCUGGUUCAAAACUGAGUCCUUGGACCCACAGGGCCAGCUUCCCCAUGGGCCAGACACAUACACCAACAUGUAUCAGGUUGGGCAGUUUGUUAAGGCCCUCAAGCAAAUGGUUCUCGCUGCUGUGGCCUAUGUCAUGUCGGGUUAAGGGCCACUGCAGGGAUGGCCGAUGCAUGCUUUGAUGUUCUGUGUGGGUGAUAGGUGUGUCCUGGGCAACUGGCCUGGCGAGGUGUGCAGCCACCUUCCUGAAUCCUGGGCAAGGCCCUUCCGAAGUUCCAGGCAGGCAUCAGGGCAGGCAACCAGGUGUAUGGCAGGAGGGCUGGAGGGGUAGCAGCAACAACCAUUCAAGAGUUUAGGGGCAGGACAGGAAACUUAUGCUGACACCCUGCUCUGGAUACAGUCCUGGGCCCCAAGGGCAGUAUGACCUGUUAGCACCUCUGCCUAUGAAAUACCUUCUCUGAGGAAGACCCAGCCUUGGUGUGGUACCCAGGAUGUUACAACCACAGCCUGAUUCCUGACCUCCCUAUCCCAGCUCUCCUGGCACAACCCUUUAUAGAAGGCUCAACUUGGUUCUCCCUAAGGCAGACCCAGUCCCAGCCCUUUGUCUGGAUGUCUGUGAGGCCCAAAGCCUGAGUCUUGACAUCUGGAGGAAGACAGUACUUUUCAUUUCUACUCCUCAUGAACUUUGAGGUACAGGAGUCAGUAGGUGGUGGUCUUUUAUCAUGGGAUGUGGUCCAGCCUCCAUCUGGUGUGACCAUGGCCUUCUGGCAUGCCCCAUUGUUGCUCUAGCACACCUUGAGCUGCUCUCCAUGUCACCCCUCACAUCUGCUCUUCUUUUGGCUUGUCUGAGGCAGUGCCCCAUGUCAAGACAUUCCCCACUCCCUGCCACAAAGGUGCCCAUCCCUCCCUAGUGCCUGAAUCCCUCUCAGCCCUGAGGGAGGGUGGUAUGUUCUGCUGCCAUCCCACUCCAAGACCUUCUGCCUCCAUGCCAAGUCUCGGCUCUGGGGACUUUUACCUGAUUGAUAGUCCUAUCGAUGAAAGGCCCAGAAAACAGGUACUGCUCCAUCUCUGCCCACAGUCCCUCACUCCCUGAGAACAUGUAGCAGCUCAGGCUUCAUCAUUCACAUGGCCCAUGAGCUCAGAUACCACUGAUAUUUUUUUCCUUGAGACAGGAAAGAAUUUUGGAAAUAAGUCUGCUUAGGUGUCCAAAACCCAGGACUGAGCAAGGAGGGUUUCUGUAGUUUCUAUAGUCUAUGUUGUUCUUUUUGUGGUGAUAGUUUAUCAAUAUAAGUCAUUUUAUUAUUUGUAGUAUUGGGGAUUGAAUCUAGGGCUUUGCACAUACUAGGCAAAUGCUCAAUCAGUGAGGUAUGUUCCCAGCCUUUUAAAAUUUAAUUUAAUUUAGUUUUGAGGCAAGGUCUUACUAAGUUGCCUAGACUAGCCUUGAAUUUGUUAUCCUCCUGCCUUAGCCUCCUGAGUUGAUGGAAUUUCAGGCAUGUGCCACUGCACCCAGGUUUAAAUUACUUUUAAGCAGUAUUUGCUACUGAGAGCAUUUCUAGGUGGGAUGGGGGUGAGUUGCUGAGCCCCACCUGAAUUUUGACAUCAGGAGGGGAGGUCAGAUUUCAUCUGAUUCAGUAAUUCAGAUCUAGCCUGAGUGGAAGGUUUAAGUCCUGCCUUCUCCCUUAAUGAUUAUGUGGCCUUGGACAAGGAACUAGUCCUGCUCAGGUCCAUGCUAAGGAGGUUAAGGAGGCUUGGUUGAGUGUGGGAUAUGUCCCAAAGUACCACUGUGGUUGUUAAAGCCUUGCCUACACUGGGAGGCUCUUGGGAGGAAGGAGGCACCUCCAACUACUGAGCAGUGCUUUAGGGUUAGUGUCCAAGGGGAAAUCCCUCAGCUAUAUUUUGGUAUUGUGACCUCUGCAAAGGGCUGUGGGUCUCUGACCACAGGGCAGAAGGGUAGACUGUUCACAUGGGUCUGGGUAGUGGAAAGAGUGGGUCCCCAGGGUUUGAAAGGAUCAUGUGGUACAGGGUGGAAAGAGGUCCUAAAAGGCCAGCUGACCACAGAAAACUCAUGACCAACUGGAAGUCGUGGGGCCCCAUCUCUAGGACCUGCUUGUGGCCAGGCUUCUCUUUGGGCUGGGACAGGGCCACUUAUAUGAACUCCGGGUAUACACAGGCUGAGCACAUGUGAGCUGCCUGCAACAAGGUGGAGAGAAGGGCUAGGUGCUGUCCUGGGAUGUACAGGCUAUUUCUAGGUCUUCCUGGGCUCUGCUGUGGAUGAUCAUAAGGGUGGUGUAUGUUUUGAACCUGCUGUGGUCUGGCUCCCCACCCUUGCCACCAGUCACUUUAACCCUCUUACCUCAUUAUAAUCAUCACCUUGUGCAUGUGAGGAAACUAAGAAGAAAAUUGAUGAGGCUAAAGUCAUGCUGCUGUUGACCUUGGUCAGGGGUCUGAGUCCAGAACUGUGGCUCCAAGCCAGCAUCUGCCCUAGGAGGGAUUGCUUGGGAGGCCCUGUAGUGUUGUUCUGGAUUGCAGGUACAAGUCCUCCUGGCUGCUGUAGGAGGGCAACCUGACCUGCGUUCUGGAGGUACCUGGGCUCUUGGGUGCCUGACCCUACCAUGUUGAGUGAGCAUUGUGUGUAGUCAUUGGGUGGGGCCCAGCUUCUGGCUUGGCAGUGGGCACAAAUCAAGGGGCCAUGUACAGUCUGGCCCACCCACUGCUGAAACUGUGUGGCUACCUUAUGGCCAGGCCUAUGUGUGUUCAGGAGGUUGACAGAAGACAUUAGGGCAUAGUGACCACCCUGCUGUGGUCAGACUGUCUGAUCUGAGAGUUUACCUGGAGAAUGUCCCUUAGCUGGUGAGGGGCUGUGUGUGGGUGUGACUUGUCCAGUAUGCCAUAGAACAUCUUCAGCUGAGUAGUUGUCAGGGGUGAAGGGGCAGUGACCCCAGAGCUUACAGAUCCCCCAGGAGGCCCAGAGGGAGACUAAAGAGGGCAGGAUUAAUACCACCUCUCCCAUAGUGAGGAAUUAACUACUUGUUUUGGGGUCUGUGGCCAGGGGUUGGUAGCAAGUGUGGUGCUGAGAAGUCAUGGUGCUAUGCUUGGCAGCCUUGAUACCCACCUGGCAGGACCCAGGAUAGCUGGGGUGCUUAUAAUCAGGAGGAGAGGCCCAGUGGGCCAGGAUGGGGGCAAGUGGCCCCAGCCCUGCUUGGAACUGCUGGGAAGACCAGGCUGUAGCCAGCAAUACUGUUGCCCUCUCCUCAGGCUGGUGGACCCGGGAGGCAGCUCUUAGCUGGGCCCAGAGCUUCAUCCAAGGCCUAGGUAGCCUCAAAGCAGGGGACUCGUGCCAGUUCCUUGUGGGCUUCCCUCUUGAGGGAUGCCUCAUGGUGCUACAUGGCUGGCUCCCCUCUGAGGAUGCAACUUGAGGAAUAUGUGGCCAUCUGAUACUGUGCUAUGUCCUGCCCUCCCUGGCAGUAUCAGCAGCAGCCCUUGGACCAGACAGUCCAAGUAGGUGGGGGCAAAGAGAGGCCCUGUGACCUGAGCCCUUGUGCUACCCACAUUCCACACCCCACUGACUCCUGGGGCUAUACAAAGCAACCUGGUUUUCCCACCAGGACUUGCCUUAACCCCCUCCUCAGCCAGCUUCUAUGUCUGGACCUGCUGCUGCCUGGCCCCUGCUAGGUUCUCUCAUCCAGGCUGCACCCAGCCAGUCACUCCUCACUCGCUGUAGUGUGUUUUAAUUUCUAACCUAACUUAGAGCAUGAGACUUGAAUGCAGAUGAUGUGUGGUGUUUUUCUAGAUGUGGUUUCUGUGGCAGUACUCUGUUGCCAUCAGUCCUCAGCAUGUAGGUUCCAUCAGGCCUGGCCUGAGAGGUCCUGCUGAAGCAAUAGAAAGAUAGCAAGGAUUCACUAAGGACCCCACCUGUAUAGUGUGAUCCCUGGCAUAGCCAGGUGGCAGCUUAUGAACAUCCUUCUCCCCAGUGCACACUGUCUAGAAGCUGUAGUGUGAUGGGCUUGGCAUAUGGGUGUCUCUCUGUCUUCCUCUGUGCUGCUGGCAUGGAACCAGUGCCUCUACAGGCUAGACACGUGCUCUCCCACUGAGCUAGACCCCAGCACCUGGGCCUCCCCUCUCAUACUGUGAGCCUCUUGAGGUCUUCCUACCCCAAGUCCUUUGAUGGCACCGUGUGAUGCUCAGAGGUGUAUGUUGAACAAGUGAGAGAUGCAAGAUGGGAAUGAUUGUGGCAGCACUGUCCACAUGAGCAAGGUCCCCCCAGCAGGAGCGGUCUGGCUCUUGCUGACCCAACACAGUACCAUGUUCGCUCACAGCCCCCAUUCCUACCUGCCUCCAUCCUGGGUCAUCCUGGCCUCCUGCCUGCUACAGCUCUAUGUCAUUCUGGUGAUAGAUAGCCCCAGCAAGUAGCUCCUCUUUCUGGGCAAUCGCAGCUGCUGGCUUUCACCUGUGCUCACUAGCAAGGGCUGGCAUGAAGAACCAGGGUUUAGGUCACCCUGAGGGCCCUAGUCCCCACACGAGCAGCGUUUCAAGAAGGCACAGAGAGAGAGCCUGCUGCAGUGUGUGGGGAGCAGCUUCCACUCCCCAAUGAGACAGCUGCUGGCUGAGGGCCUCUGCCUUGCCAGGCCAAGAACCAGAUGUUCUUAUAGGACAGGGCAAAGGAAAACUCCAGGUUCUAAGACCUGGGUUUGCCAAAUCAAUCUCCACCAGUCAGGCUUGCUUCAGGGAAGAGGCGGAACCCCCAUGACCUGAUGGUGCCCCACAGAGCUCAAGCUGACUGAGCCCUGGCACCCCCUGGAGCAGCUGUUACAUUUUCUAGACACCAACAUGAACUGGGGACUGGCGUAUGCUCCCUCCUCUCCUCACCAGCUGGAGUCCCUUGGGACAACUGUCCAAGCUGACGCUACGGGAAAGGGCGGGCACGUGUGUGCGCGCGUCCUGCAGGUCUGUGAGCUUCAUCUCCCUUUCCUUCUUCACAGUGUACUAAUGGUCACUUGAUGUGCGCUGGCUGUUUUAUCCACCUACUAGCAGAUGCCCGGCUGAAGGAGGAGCAGGCCACAUGCCCCAACUGUCGUUGUGAGAUCAGUAAGAGCCUCUGCUGCCGGAACCUGGCUGUGGAGAAAGCCGUGAGCGAGCUGCCCUCAGAAUGUGGCUUUUGCCUGCGCCAGUUUCCUCGUUCCAUCCUGGAGAGGCACCAGAAAGAGGAAUGCCAGGACAGGUAACCACUAAGGCUAUGGGCUCCACCACACAUGUGGGGCCCAGGAUGGGGCUGGAAGCCCACCCUGGUGCAGGCAAGUUCCCUCCCAGGACAGGCUAGUUUGUCCUUGUUGUCUGGGCCUUGGGUACCGUAUGCAACAUAACAAACCUGUAGGCCCCAGGGUGGGGGGGGGGGGCGCAUGGGGCUUCCCAUGGGACAGGGCAGGUUCUGUGCCCAUUUGCUAUCUAGACAUGACCCUGACCUUCAGGGUUCUCUGGCCAUGGGGUAGCCCCUCAGAAGGCCCAGGACAGUGUGGCCAGCUCAGGAACUCUAGAAGCUCUGCUCUACAACAUGGGCCCAGUAGGUGGACAGGGCCGCUCAACCAGUGGAUCCCUAAUACCAGGCCUACUCUGUAAUGAUGUUGUGUGGGACCAUGACAGUGGUCAUUGGCUCCUUAUUAUGAAGAAACACCACAGCAGUGGGUACAAAAAGCAUGCUGGCUUAUAGCUCUCUCACUCCCCCCCCCCGCCCCCGCUCUCUAUUUCUGUCUUCUUCUCCUUCCCUCUUUCACUGUCUCCCUCCUCCCUCCUCCUCCUCCUCCUCUUCUCUCUCUCAAACACACACCACAUGUGGGCAUGCAGGUACAACUGUUCUCUGAGCCUGUCCUUGUGGCUGGGCUCAGGAUUAAGUAUGUCCUGCUGGAAGAGGUUUUUGACUGAGUAGAAGCUGCCUCUGGGGGAUAGCUGGUCACAGCCACCUGCUUCUGGCAUAGAUGUGACCUCAGUGUUCACCUUCUCCCAGGGUGACCCAGUGCAAAUAUAAGCGCAUCGGCUGCCCAUGGCAUGGCCCUUUCCAUGAGCUGACAGUGCAUGAAGCUGCAUGUGCCCACCCCACCAAGACGGGCAAUGAGUUGAUGGAGAUCCUAGAUGAGAUGGACCAGAGCCACCGCAAGGAAAUGCAACUCUACAAUAGCAUCUUCAGCCUGCUCAGCUUUGAGAAGAUUGGCUACACAGGUGAGGUGCCCCACUGCCCUCUGCAUGCCACACGGGUAUGAACUGGGGAUGAUGCUGGUGACCAGAAGCUGGGUAUUGGGGACAGCAGGCUCUGUGCAGUGGGCACAGGCUGCGCCGGAUGGCUAGGCUCUGGACAACCUCCAGGUGGACAGGAGGAUAUCUCAGGGAAAAAAAGAUAGGUCAGGUCGGAGACUGAGCAGAGGGAGGGGCCAACAGGGCCUAGGGCAUACCUGCAUGGCUCUCACAGUAGCCCCUGCCCCUGUCCUCCCCACCCUGGCCUACCAUCCCAGCAAGCUGGUAUCACUGUGUGGGGCUCCACUGCCUUGGGACAGGUGGGGUCUAACCAGGAAGCGGGGCGUGUGUUAGGGAAGCCUGGGAACUCAGGGCUGCCACUCAGAGCUGGAGCAAGAGGAGCCUCCAUCAGGUCAGGCCCUGUCGGCAGACCUCACUGAAGCCACCACAGGCCUCCCAAGGCUGGUAAGAAGCUGUUCAGGGACAGGACUCCAGAGCAAACUGAGGGCACCCAGCUCAGGCUGUAGAACCAGGAAUGGAUGUCCACAGAUGGGCAGACUGGACUGGGCCUAGGCCCACUGGAUCUUGUGGCUCCUGGGCUACUGCUACCACCUUUGAACAUUUCGGAAAGCAGGAGUCAGGCUGGAGCCUGGUUCAGAGGACAGCAAGAAGCACCUGCAGACAAUGGGACACUCAGGGAGACCCCAUCCCUCUACUGCUCAGCAACACCAGGUGGCCAGGGCAACCAUGCAGCCAGUCACACCAUGCUGCCUAGACUGAGCUUGGCUGGGUAUAGACCUGAGCAGGCUCCAGAGGCUGAGGGCCCAGGGGGCUACAGCAGCAGAAAGCCACAGCCCCUGGUUAAGAGCAGCCUCAGCUGAUCGGACAGGCCCUGUGGGGUCUGGGUGGGCAGGGGCAUGUGGCUACAUCAGUGGCCAGGUAGGAAGCCCCAUCCAUGCAGGAAGGACUGGUUGCCUGGGAACCCACACCUCCACAGAGGGACUUGCCAGCCACAGGCUGUGGGUACAAAAGAGGACUGCAAAAGCAGGUCUGCCCGCUGACUGACAGCCCCAGAGAUGCCAGGCAGAGCCUGGUUGCAGCUGGACACCUGAGGACCUGGCGCUCCCCUCGGGCAGGACUGGGUGCCACUUACUCACCUGCCGGCUUUUCUGGCAGCUCUGUAUCCAAACCAAUAAAGUACACUUGUUCUCAGAACUGCAUCCUGUCUGUGUGUCUGCUUACCCCGCCCCUGCUGGGACACCAGGGCUAGGGUGAGGAGGGUGGUCCAUGGGUCAGCCACGCCUGGGAGAUGGCCUGACCUCCCAUAGCCUUGGGUUCUACAGCUAAUUGGUGUUUAUAUCCCCGGACCCCUGAAAGCUUGUGCGCCUCCAUGUGCAAUACUUGCAUUUGACUUGCCUUGUGACAAGUAGAGCUCACUAGGUCCGGGUAAGUUGCCUUUCUCCCUGGCUGAGCCUGUCCUCAGCCUGGUCAGAGAAGGCGCCACCACCCAGCUCUGCCCAACACUAACGGCUGGCUGUUUCUGGCCCUGUCUGUCUCCACAGAAGUCCAGUUCCGACCAUACCGCACGGAUGACUUCAUCACACGCCUGUACUAUGAAACACCGCGGUUCACAGUGCUGAACCAGACAUGGGUCCUGAAGGCUCGUGUGAAUGACUCAGAGCGCAACCCCAACCUGUCUUGCAAGCGCACACUUUCCUUCCAGCUCCUCCUCAAGAGCAAGGUCACAGCACCCCUGGAGUGCUCCUUCCUGCUGCUCAAGGGCCCGUAUGAUGAUGUGCGGAUCAGUCCUGUCAUCUACCACUUUGUCUUCACCAACGAGAGCAAUGAGACGGACUAUGUGCCUCUGCCCAUCAUCGACUCUGUGGAGUGCAACAAGCUGCUGGCUGCCAAGAACAUCAACCUGCGGCUCUUCCUCUUCCAGAUACAGAAGUAGGAUGGGCUCAGGAUGCCCAAGGAGCUGAGGGCCAAGGCCGGCGCCGCCAUCCCAUCCACCCCUGGCUUGGCAGCGGCUUCACAUGACCAUCUGAUCAUUUUAGCAAAAGAGGAGAACAGACAAAACCAAACACUGGGAAAGUCUGCAUGCGUGUGCCACAGGGUCCCUGCCUCCAGCUCCCCCUCUUCCUGGCCUCCCCCUCCUGAGGGUGGCUGGAGGCUGGGCUGACCGCAGAGGAGACAGUGCUUUGGGCUGCCCAGGCUCAGGGAUGGGUGUGAGGAGGGCAAGAACCAGCGGCCCUGCCCCUGCACCCAUCCUCACAGUGAGGCAGCACUGCCUGCUCUGGUCCCGGGCCGGGCUCAGGGGCCCUCGCUGACUUCAGACGGCAUAUUUGAUUGCAAUUAAAAGGCAGCCUUGUUUCCUACUUUCUGUUUUGUUGGAGGGGAAGGAGUGGCUGUGAAUGGACGGCGUGGGAGCUCUGGUAUGGCUUGGGGGUUACUGUUACGGCACCUGUGUGUGCCCCCAAGAGAGACUUGGAGACAUUGCUUUUCCCACAGUCUGUCACAGGUCUCUGGACUGAGGCCUAGAGAGGGACAGCCAUGAAGGGUCGGGACCCCCCCCCCCCCAGCUACCCGGCUACUUCAGGGAGGCAAGACUCAGCCACCAGGGCUCAGCAGAUGUUUUCGGAAUGCAGGGUGAAAUUCUGUCUCUUCCCAGGAAAAAAAUUAAACUCUUUACAGGCUCUUCUAAAAGAGAUGCCGUUUUAGUGAGAGAGAGCUCAUUCACUUCCUUUUAGCCUUGGGGCCCAGUGUCUUCAGGCUGCAAAGGAGGCAGGCCACUGGCUGUGAGCCUGGCUGGGUGAGGUCAGAGAGGGCCACCACCCCAACCUGCUCUCAGGGACUGGCUGCUGGGCCUUUGUUCAGAGAGCCACUGCAAGGGCCAAGGUUGGGCAGCAUGGCUUCUCACCUACAGAGUGUGAGCUAUGAGCAGGACUGGGGAGUGGGAAGCAGCCCUGCUUGGAGGAGAAGACCCUAGUCCUUUAUUCCCCUGGGACCCGCAGAGCUACUGGGAAGGUAGAAUUUGCUUCCCUCAACUUUUGUUUAGGAGAUGGGGCUCUUUUGUGAUAGCUUUUUUUGCUUUAAUACCAAAGAACUGGGUUUCCUCUGCCCUGACCAGGCCACCACACACCUGGGAGCAGCCCCCACCCUCCCUGCAGGCUGCCUGUGCCCCACGGGGUUGAAGGACUAGAUAGCCCUGUCCACAUGGGUGCAGAGUUUAGGCCAACUGACCCCUGAGGCUCCUCCCACCCCACCCCCAGGGGGCUGAGAAAUGGAGAGAAGGAGCUGUGGCAUAGAGCACAAGCCCUAACCACAUUCCUGAGCAUGGCUUAGCACAGGGGCCAGGGUGGCUGCCUGAAACAGUUUUCUCCUCAAGGAUGGCUCUCCUGUCUCCUCACAGACAGAAAGUUUCUCAGAGCUGUUUUCAAAGAUCCAUUUGGGCUCCUGUCCCCAGCUCAGGGCACAGAGCUUACAGGGAACUCCUCUCUGGGGAACCAUCUCUCCUGCAAAGCUGAUGUGGCCUGGAUAGUUGGGAAGACCCAUGUUUGGCUUUCUGCAUUCUGCAAAGAAAGACCCAACCCCAAAACCCAGCACAUCUAUAGGAGCGGUGGCCUCUGACUCAGGUACAGCCAGAUGACUCCUCUGCCCUUAUGGGGCAGCCCUGUCCCACACCCACUGACAGGCACAGAGGGCCUGUGGAGAACAGAGGCCCUUCAGGGAGCCCCUCUGGAUGCCAAGGUGACGGUGUGAGGGACAGUGCAGAACUGUCCUUUGCUGGUAUUUGUGAGACUGAUCCAGCAGAGGGUGAUGUGGUGGCUUCCUGGGGUGGGACAGAGUGGAAGGUUUGUUCUCCAAGGCCACAGCUAUGCUGGGGCAAGGAAGGGCACAACUGGGCUGGCAGGGCUUGGAGGUGACAGAUCUGUAUGUAUGUGUGUGGCUGUGGGGUCUGGGAAGCCACCAGGAGGGAGGAGGCCCAGGGCUGCCCGGCCUACAGCCUUUCCUCAGUGCUGGAGCCCACAGGGUCGACAACAGGGUCAGCCCAAGACAGAUGUGGGGACAAGGGGUAGGGGUGUGGUGUGUCUGGUGAUGCCCAGGAGGACUGCUUAGGCCUUGCAGCACUGUCCCCAGCAUGGCCCCUGCCCUAUGACUGUCACAUGCAGCAGCUGAGCCUAGCAACCUAGGGGAACUGGGCAGUGGAGGAGACUGGCAUGUCUCUGGGCCACACUGGGCACUGGCACCACAAACCUUGCACCAUUGUCACCAUGAACCCUUUAUUACUGAAGGCACAUCUACUGGCCUGUGUCCUCUUGCUGUCUCAGCCUGGUCCCUUUUCUGUCACCUGUGAGGAUGGGGGUGAUUAGUCUCUGCAGAUGUUGGGAGGCUUGUGGGGGUAUAGGCCAAGCCAGGCCUCUGCACCCCUCAUCUCACUCCCACUCUCUGUGAGCACCACAUCCCUCAGUUUGCCCAAAGUGAGACAUUUACAAAAACAAUAAAAAUAAAUUUUUAAACAUCAGAGCAAGAAGUGCUUUUAUGGCUGUCAGAAAUGACUUACAUGUCACUUUUGUGGUCUGCAUUUUCUUUGGAUAUUUUCUGUAUGUAAUUGUAGUUUAAAAAAAUAUUCCAAACUAUGUUUUGUCUGUGUGUCCUUACCAGAAGACAGCCUCCCCGCCGCCCCAGCCUGUGCCCUGCCCCAGACCUCCAGCCCUGUGCAGCACCUCCUGCCUGCUCACCUGGAGAACAGCAUGGAGAAGACAGUCAUCUCUGAAGGGAAUUGGGCCCCUAGGAACUAUGCUGUCCUAUGAAUCCGAGGGCUGGAAGGAAGGCAGUUCAUGGUCUUC